CUGGGUAGAUGGCAAGUAGCCACGACAAUUGCACUCGAGCGACUGCCGUUGGUCUAAAUUAUCCAACAUAACUACUGCAUUUGACGUGUGAAACGUAUAUGUAUUUGUUUGAUAACAAUAAUGAUGAACUCCAUGUAGGAGCGUGAUCCGACCGUUGCUUUACAUGUUCUUGUCUUGACCGGCACGCAAGCUAUUGUUCAUGCAUGCUUCUUCAUUAGAGGAAGCCUGUUUGCCAUUACUGCAUGGUGGGAAAGACAGGAUCAUGAUGCUUCGAACAACUUGUAAUAGCCUUGAAGAUGCAAUCAUGUGAAUUUGUUAGUGUUCCCAUAUGAUGACGUAUG
rnacentral:lncRNA from 1 species